GAUGAACGCUAGCUACAGGCUUAACACAUGCAAGUCGAGGGGCAGCAUGAACUUAGCUUGCUAAGUUUGAUGGCGACCGGCGCACGGGUGAGUAACACGUAUCCAACCUGCCGAUGACUCGGGGAUAGCCUUUCGAAAGAAAGAUUAAUACCCGAUGGCAUAGUUCUUCCGCAUGGUAGAACUAUUAAAGAAUUUCGGUCAUCGAUGGGGAUGCGUUCCAUUAGCUUGUUGGCGGGGUAACGGCCCACCAAGGCAUCGAUGGAUAGGGGUUCUGAGAGGAAGGUCCCCCACACUGGUACUGAGACACGGACCAG
rnacentral:rRNA from 1 species